GGGGAAUAUUGCACAAUGGGGGAAACCCUGAUGCAGCGACGCCGCGUGAAGGAAGAAGUAUCUCGGUAUGUAAACUUCUAUCAGCAGGGAAGAUAGUGACGGUACCUGACUAAGAAGCCCCGGCUAACUACGUGCCAGCAGCCGCGGUAAUACGUAUGGUGCAAGCGUUAUCCGGAUUUACUGGGUGUAAAGGGAGCGCAGGCGGUGCGGCAAGUCUGAUGUGAAAGCCCGGGGCUCAACCCCGGUACUGCAUUGGAAACUGUCGUACUAGAGUGUCGGAGGGGUAAGCGGAAUUCCUAGUGUAGCGGUGAAAUGCGUAGAUAUCGGGAGGAACACCAGUGGCGAAGGCGACCUACUGGGCACCAACUGACGCUGAGGCUCGAAAGCAUGGGUAGCAAACAGGAUUAGAUACCCUGGUAGUCCAUGCCGUAAACGAUGAUUACUAGGUGUUGGAGGAUUGACCCCUUCAGUGCCGCAGUUAACACAAUAAGUAAUCCACCUGGGGAGUACGACCGCAAGGUUGAAACUCAAAGGAAUUGACGGGGGCCCGCACAAGCAGUGGAGUAUGUGGUUUAAUUCGACGCAACGCGAAGAACCUUACCAAGUCUUGACAUCCCUUGACGAUGCUGGAAACAGUAUUUCUCUUCGGAGCAAGGAGACAGGUGGUGCAUGGUUGUCGUCAGCUCGUGUCGUGAGAUGUUGGGUUAAGUCCCGCAACGAGCGCAACCCUUAUCUUUAGUAGCCAGCGGUUCGGCCGGGCACUCUAGAGAGACUGCCAGGGAUAACCUGGAGGAAGGCGGGGAUGACGUCAAAUCAUCAUGCCCCUUAUGACUUGGGCUACACACGUGCUACAAUGGCGUAAACAAAGGGAAGCGGAGCCGUGAGGCCGAGCAAAUCUCAAAAAUAACGUCUCAGUUCGGACUGUAGUCUGCAACCCGACUACACGAAGCUGGAAUCGCUAGUAAUCGCAGAUCAGAAUGCUGCGGUGAAUACGUUCCCG
rnacentral:rRNA from 1 species